rnacentral:rRNA from 1 species
AUUGAACGCUGGCGGCAGGCUUAACACAUGCAAGUCGAGCGGAGAUGAGGUGCUUGCACCUUAUCUUAGCGGCGGACGGGUGAGUAAUGCUUAGGAAUCUGCCUAUUAGUGGGGGACAACAUUCCGAAAGGAAUACUAAUACCGCAUACGUCCUACGGGAGAAAGCAGGGGAUCUUCGGACCUUGCGCUAAUAGAUGAGCCUAAGUCGGAUUAGCUAGUUGGUGGGGUAAAGGCCUACCAAGGCGACGAUCUGUAGCGGGUCUGAGAGGAUGAUCCGCCACACUGGGACUGAGACACGGCGCAGACUCCUACGGGAGGCAGCAGUGGGGAAUAUUGGACAAUGGGGGGAACCCUGAUCCAGCCAUGCCGCGUGUUUGAAGAAGGCCUUAUGGUUGUAAAGCACUUUAAGCGAGGAGGAGGCUACUGAGACUAAUACUCUUGGAUAGUGGACGUUACUCGCAGAAUAAGCACCGGCUAACUCUGUGCCAGCCGCCGCCGUAA